GUACGUGGAAACGUGCUCAUACAUACAACUCAACAACCAGACAAAAACCCUCGCACACAGGGGCACAUGUAAUUGAAGUAUUCGAAAAACAGAAAAAAAGACAUAAUAAAAAACAAAAGACGACGAGGCAUGAAAAGCAAAAGAAGCAGAUGCUGCCUAAGCUUGUCUUUCAGUUUCUCGGAUGUGUAGUGUGCAUUUUGUGAACAGCGAAAAGAACAUCAUGAAAACAAGGCGGUAAAGGGUUAAGAAGCCGAGAUUACCCUAUGAGCAAAAACUAUCUUAUUAUAAAAGAGUAUCUGAAGGAUGUGCCAUGGAAUUCGUGCUAAUGACAAAUACAAACAGGAAUUGUUUUUUCGGGCGAAUAAUGCAAAUGAGUUAACUGACCUUCACAGUUGAGCGUAGAGAAUUCUGCCAUUCAGUUAGUUUUUACUUGGGUGCGGCCACAAAAUUAACAACUUUUGGAGGCUGAGAGACACAACAAAAGAAAGCUGCGGAAUUUUAGCAAUGCGGCCAACGAUGGAUGGCCAAUGAUCUCCGCACCUCCUCCUCCACCGCCUCCCCCCCCACAUAAAAGCCAGCUAGACAACAAACAGCUUUUCCUCCAACUCAAACUCAAAUAUACCGUGAUCACUCAACAGGUGGCCUUUGGAUUUCAGGUGGAUUUACUAAACGAGUUUUGACUUUGGAGUCAACUAUUCACAAUGUAAUUAGGCACUAAAGAUACCUGCUUCCCUUAGAAAUUGUCUAAUGGGUUCAUUCUACUAUGGUUUUCCUUUCAUAAACAUGAUUUUCUUUAUUAGAACUGAUACAAUUAACUUUUAAAAUUAAAAUUCAUACAAAUUGACCUCUAAAAUGCCAUUAAAAAUUAUUUGAAAAUUUCAACAACCCAGCGAUGACUGUAUCUCACUUUUUAAGCACGCGGUCAGCGUCAGGUGUAGAUAAAAGUAAGCUUAUGCACCUGAUAAAACAUUUAAUUUAUAUACACAAACACACACAGACAUUGCAGAGAAAAGCAAAAGCAAACUCCACAAAAAAUGGCUUAAUAAAAUGCUGAAAAUGUACGUUAAUAUGCACUACUCUAUCAUUUGAGAAAUUAAAAAGCGAAUUUAAAUGCAUUGAGACACGCGCGCAAGUUGGCAGCGGCGCAGCUCAGCGAUCGCAUGCCAUGGGCGUCCGUCCCCCCUUAUCCGCCCCCCUUCCGGCGGCACAGAAACCCGACCCAUAA